GUUUAAUGCAGGUCUACAGUAACCUAUAGGUGGGGUUUAAUGCAGGCCUACAGUAACCUAUAGGUGGUGUUUAAUGCAGGUCUACAGUAACCUAUAGGUGGUGUUUAAUGCAGGCCUAUAGGUGGGGUUUAAUGCAGGCCUACAGUAACCUAUAGGUGGUGUUUAAUGCAGGUCUACAGUAACCUAUAGGUGGUGUUUAAUGCAGGCCUACAGUAACCUAUAGGUGGUGUUUAAUGCAGGCCUACAGUAACCUAUAGGUGGUGUUUAAUGCAGGUCUACAGUAACCUAUAGGUGGUGUUUAAUGCAGGUCUACAGUAACCUAUAGGUGGGGUUUAAUGCAGGCCUAUAGGUGGUGUUUAAUGCAGGCCAAUAGGUGGUGUUUAAUGCAGGUCUAUAGGUGGUGUUUAAUGCAGGUCUACAGUAACCUAUAGGUGGUGUUUAAUGCAGGCCUAUAGGUGGUGUUUAAUGCAGGUCUACAGGUGGUGUUUAAUGCAGGUCUACAUUCCAUGAGACUGGCUCUGCCUACAACAAAAUCAGACACAAUCUUGCAAAGUUAAGAUUUGUUUGCGUUGAAAAGGGGCUGAUAAGUUGAUUGAAUCAGAGAGAAACAUUGAUCUAUAUAGUACAAACUAAUGGGGUUGAAGUCCAAUCUCUCGAGUCUGGCUGGCAUUUCUUCUGCUCUGGAGGAGGUGAGUGGCCACACAGCUUAGAGGGAACAGGAAGUUGACUUGACAGUGGUCAUGUGGCUUUCGAUUAAAGUGCAAAAUGGCAUGUAUUGUUAUCAAAGAGUUGUUGCAUGUGUCUGUGAUGGUCACACGUGACUAGAGUUGUCAGACUUGUUGUAGUAGUACUGCCAUCUUGAGGUCCUUUACCAUGAAAUCCACUUGGAACGCCCCUCUCUUCUGUGUGU